UAGCUCUGAUGGAGAUUUACAGAAAGGGA
rnacentral:piRNA from 1 species